rnacentral:rRNA from 1 species
UAGGCUGCAACUCGCCUACACGAAGUCGGAAUCGCUGUAAUCGCAGAUCAGAAUGCUGCGGUGAAUACGUUCCCGGGUCUUGUACACACCGCCCGUCACACCAUGGGAGUCGGAAAUGCCCGAAGCCGGUGACCCAACCAAAAGGAGGGAGCCGUCGAAGGCAGGUCUGAUAACUGGGGUGAAGUCGUAACAAGGUAGC